rnacentral:rRNA from 1 species
GAUAAACGCUGGCGGCGUGCAUGAGACAUGCAAGUCGAACGAAGGAUCGGGCUUGCUCGAUCCUUAGUGGCGGACGGCUGCGUAACGCGUAGGUGACCUACCCCGAAGUGGGGAAUAACUGCCCGAAAGGGUGGCUAAUACCGCAUGUGGUCGCACGUUCAUUCGUGCGAGUAAAGCCGCAAGGCGCUUCGGGAGGGGCCUGCGUCCGAUUAGCUCGUUGGUGGGGUAAUGGCUUACCAAGGCGACGAUCGGUAGGUGGUCUGAGAGGACGAUCACCCAGACUGGGACUGAGACACGGCCCAGACUCCUACGGGAAGCAGCAGUCGGGAAUUUUGCUCAAUGGGGGAAACCCUGAAGCAGCAACGCCGCGUGAGGGAUGAAGGCCUUCGGGUUGUAAACCUCUUUUGUCAGGGACGAUGAUGACGGUACCUGGCGAAUAAGCCACGGCUAACUACGUG